AGAAGUAUUUGUUCGAGAACUUGCUGUCAAAGGCGGCGCAAACCCGGCCGCAUGCACGAAAAGGAUGCUACGGUACGUUAUGACUGAUCAUCUCGCGUGCCAGUUCUCGUGGCAAGGGAGGAAGGGGAAGCUCAGCUUCUGUCAGAUGCGGCUGCCGUCGUGCAUAACUUGUGCUGUCCAGACUGCACACGAGGCUAGCGAUUUCACGGUGGAGAUGGCCAUCCGAGAGUGGCUGCGGCAUGCUCCUGCCAGACAACGCACCGCGAUUGCUAAGGAUUCUGCCGCUGAAUAAGCCGAAUGCAUCUGUCAACUGCGUCCACCCUUGUGCGUCCGCCAACUACUUCCAGGCCUUUGUGGUGCGCCCAUGAAAUGUGUCCAUCCUUGUGGUGCGUCCGUCAACUGCGGCGCAGAACUGUGUCGUCCUUGUGGUGCGCCGAUGAACUGUGUAAUCCUUGUGGUGCGCCGAUGAACUGUGGCAUCCUUGCGGUGCACCCAUGAACUGUAUCAUCCUUGUGGUGCGUCCAUCCAUUCUUGUGGUGCGGCUCCUUCAAAAGAGCUGACACAAAAACUUUGCACCAUGUUUUUUCCGAUGAAAUAAGUAUCUAAUAAGCCACUUAUCUCGGCUGCAAAUAUCACUUGCGCAAACGUGCGAUGUUGAUUGUUUGGAGAUUCCCAGUUGCAUUUUCGGUUUCAAAGUGCACCGAGUGAGGUGGGAACCAGAGUUGUUUCUGUGUAAACAAAAAAUUGUGCACGUGAGCACCGCGCGUUGACAACUCCUUUCAUCAAGGGACUGCUAU
rnacentral:lncRNA from 1 species